CAGUAGCCGCGUUAAUACGAAGGGUGCAAGCGUUACUCGGAAUUAUUGGGCGUAAAGCGUGCGAAGGUGGUGGUUUAAGUCCGUUGUGAAAGCCCUGGGCUCAACCUGGGAAUUGCAGUGGAUACUGGAUCACUAGAGUGUGGUAGAGGAUAGUGGAAUUUUCGGUGUAGCAGUGAAAUGCGUUGAGAUCGGAAAGAACACCAACGGCGAAAGCACUCUGCUGGGCCGACACUGACACUGAGAGACGAAAGCUAGGGGAGCAAAUGGGAUUAGAUACCCCCGUAGUCCCUGUCUCUUAUAC
rnacentral:rRNA from 1 species